rnacentral:rRNA from 1 species
UACGGGGGGGGCAAGCGUUGUUCGGAAUUACUGGGCGUAAAGGGCUCGUAGGCGGCCAACUAAGUCAGACGUGAAAUCCCUCGGCUUAACCGGGGAACUGCGUCUGAUACUGGAUGGCUUGAGAUUGGGAGAGGGAUGCGGAAUUCCAGGUGUAGCGGUGAAAUGCGUAGAUAUCUGGAGGAACACCGGUGGCGAAGGCGGCAUCCUGGACCGACAUUGACGCUGAACGGCGAAAGCUAGGGGAGCAAACGGG